rnacentral:tRNA from 1 species
AUUUUUUAUCAUCGUGAUAAAAAAAUCGCCGGGAUAGCUCAGU